UACGAUACGUCGUCAAAGAAAAAGCUAUCCUCAUUUACGGCCGUAUUUCUGUGUACUAGAUUCAUUUUGGUAAACUGUUUUAUCGACAUCGAUGAAAGAUGUUUUUUUAUUUUUUCACUUCUGUUUUGUUUUCAUUUGAGAUUCCUACAUUGGGUACAGUUUUUGUCUGGAAAAAACGGAAAUUCCCGGUUUUCUGAGUGAUCCGCAGACAUUUUACUGUGCGAAUAUCGAUGGCCAAAUUAUUCAGGUUACUCCAUAACAGCACGAUUGAUCCAAUGUAACAACGAAUCGAUGAUAUGUGAAUGGAAUCCGCCGGAAGAUAAGUGCAUUAGUGUAGUCGCGUGAAAUUCAUGUCAGCUUGCGUGUGUAACUGCAUGCGACAUUCAUUAUAUCGAAAUUGAAGCAGGCAAGUCGGAGCACAAGAGCACUGUCACAUUCAGUCUUGAACGAAAGCUCCAGCCGUUCGGAACCAUUCGGCAGCGGUUUUCUCAAAUGUCAAUCUGAAGGAAGUAAAUCAUAUGUGCUCACUUAACGCCGGAGCGUAUCAGGACAGUUUGGCUCUUGCAACCGAAUAUUCAAUUAUUCUUGGUACAAUUAAUUAAAUUCAAAAGUUACACAUUCGAACGGUACAAAUGGGACCAGGAAACUUCUCAAUAGUUUGGUGUUAUAACGGGGCGAAUGGAUCUUCAGGACUCGAGUGGUCUGACUCCUUCGAGACAGAGCGCGUCAACUCAGACGACAAAUGUAACUUACUCGAGCAACAUGGCACUGCUUAAGCCAGGAGCCAGUAGUGCCGAGUUUGGUCAAGAAGUUGAAAAUCACAAUCUACUUUUUUUUUAUCCCUUUUGUUUAUUUAAGGCUCAUUAGCAUUUUAGCUGUAACAGAGCCGAAUUUUAAUCGUGUACAUGUCACAUAUUUAUCAUAUCUAUAAUUAGCACAUUACACAGUUGCCAUUUUUCGGCGUUAGAAUAUUCCCUUCUAUACCAUUGCAAAUGGUACAUAUUUACACAGUAGCCAUUUAGGCGAAAGAGUUUUCUAUCUGUUCUUCCAUUAUCCACAGUUAAGACUGGACAGCGGAGACAGUCGUUGAUCCAUUGUUGAGUUAUUUAUAGAACAGCAGCCCGAUAUUUCUGCAGAGCAGAGCAGUUGUAUGGAUGAAUCGAUCUUAUUUCGACCGUGGAUCGAUCUCCAUCGCUGAUGAUUGUUGCGUGGACGUAGUUAUUCUGUAACAAUACAAAGAUGGUCAAUGGGGGCCCUGAGUUUUGAACUCACGAUCGAUCGCUUACUAAGCGAACGCGCAACCAAUGUGGCUACGGAGACCCCCUACACACACAAUCUACUUAUCAUCGAUCAGAAUACGUUCGAGUUGCUACAUGCACAUCAAUUCAUGCAAACGGAGUAUACUAUGUCACUGAUUUCGGCGAAGUUGGGUAACGACUCGAAUACUUAUUGCAUCGUAGGAACAGCACUGGUACAUCAAGCGGAACCGGAACCCAAAGUAGGAAGGAUUAUCAUCUAUCACUACGUGGAUGGAGCCCUCACUCAAGUUAGCGAGAAGGGAAUCAAGGGAGCGUGCUAUUCUCUCAUUGAGUUUAACCGUCGUGUAUUAGCUAGCAUCAAUUCAACUGUACGAUUGUAUGAGUGGUGUUGAAUUUUCUAUGGAGGAAACUGUACAUCCACGUCUACACUGUACGAUGUCUUGAGAAGAGAAGAGUACCACCGUGACAAAACCCGAACGCGAGCCGAACACUCGAUCAACCCGAAUAGCGAACAGACAUACGUCCGAACACUACUGUCAUAACAUUACGAAAGGACUAAGAAAACGCCAGAUCCGGCUCGAAGGACCAAAGUGUUGAAUUAUCUAUGGAGGAAACUGUACAUCCACGUCUACACUGUACGAUGUCUUGAGAAGAAGAGAAGAGUACCACCGUGACAAAACCCGAACGCGAGCCGAACACUCGAUCAACCCGAAUAGCGAACAGACAUACGUCCGAACACUACUGUCAUAACAUUACGAAAGGACUAAGGUAUAUAUUACCAGGUGUGCCAGUCGCAUAACUACGUCACAAUACUUAACAAGUGGACUGAUGAUAAGAAUUUGCGACUUGAAUGUAACCAUUUCAAUAACGUGUUGGCAUAUAAAACCAAGGGCGACUUCAUUUUGGUGGGUGAUUUGAUGCGAUCUGUCACGCUGGAGGUAAUUUUGAGCUAGGUAGUGCGGACUGAAUCAAAACGGCUGUCAAAAAAGAUCCAAUUGAAAUGUCAAAAGAGAUCCAACGAUCAGGAGUGUUAUUUUUCUUAUGAUAAUCAACACUAUAAAAGAGGUAUUGUUGUCAAGGGCAAAAAUAAGUAAAAUUAUAAAAUGAACGAACUACAUUUUUCCGUCAAUUGUUCAAUUAACCAUUGCAUCUCUAAAAGACCAUCUCAGCCUUUCACUGAGCAACGCAUUUUUAAUGUCCCCUCUCUUUGUCAUAACGUUUUUCCGAACGUAAUAAAAACAAACAAAGUCAGAGUCACGUAAAUGUUUACUCCUGCGAUUUGGAAAUAUUCGAUAAAAAGUGGAAGGAAGAGCUGCCAGAUGAUUUUUAAAAAAAGUCUGUAAAAACAUGUGAAUGUCUGUUAAAAAUGUGGAAAAGUCUGUAAAAGUGUGCAGAUCUAUAGAAAUGUCUUUUAACGUUAAUUUUCACUUAUUCAUUAAUACUUUGUACAUCACGAUGCACGUAAGAUUGUAUUCUGUAUAUAUAUAUACAGCCAUUCCAUGCCAAACUAAUAUAGUGGUUCUCAACUCUUCGUCAAAAGUGGUAAUUUUGUUCUUUAUCGCAAAACAUUAAACUCGUAUUUUUGACGUAGGACUACGUCUUUCAUUUCUAUACCGGGGUGUAAAAUCAAAGUUUCGCAAAAGAAAGCGUUACGCCGGAGACCGAGAUUUUGAGCGUUAAUAGCUCCUAAACAACUGAACGAAAUGGUAUGAUAAACACUUCAUUCGAAAGAUUAAAUGUCUACGCGUUGUAUACUUGUUACUUUUUGAUCCAAAAACUUGUUUCAAUAGCCUUAAAAUUGCUAUCAAAACAGGCUAUUGAAAACACCAAUCGGUAUAUAAGCGAGCACCGCUCGGAAAUCUACUCAGUUCUAAUUGAACAGCGAUUGGAGCAUGUUGUCGCUGUUGUGGUGAAGCUCUUCGUUUAUCAUGAAAGCGCGGAUGAACGCUGUCACCAAGAGCCUGUUUGUGCACCUUAGGCCAGAAGGGAAUCCAUCAGGAGGAGACCCAGUCUACUUUGUUGUACCGAAUUGGUUACAAAAAUGGUGCCGACAACGGUGCCGAUACCGUGCCAUUUUGCAAUGAUUUUGUCGACCUACCCUUCGUAUUUGACAACAAAUUACGAGCCAACACUGUGCCAAUCUGGCACCGUGACGACCGAAAACAAAACUGUUCGAUUUUUAUUAUAGUUUCUUGUGUUUACAUGAUUUAUUAAACGAUAAAACAAAAACUCACAGAGACCACGGUCAUCAUUAGUUUUAUUUAAUAUAUAAAUAUACAUCAUAAAUUACAUAUCAUUGUAUUACGUGAUUGCAUUAAAUUAUAAAUUUACUUCAUAUGGUUCUAAAUAAAAUAUUCCUCGCAGCCGGAAUAGCGUCCAUAAUCACAAUCAGGUCUAAACUAUCUUCAUCCUCUCGUAUUGAAUUGUGAGAAAUGCAAUUUUUCUUAAUUCUAAAUCGUUAAAAAAAAACCUGAGCCUAACCUGCGCUGAUUGAAUUAUUUCUUUUUGUCUGUUUCUCUCUUUCUGGAGUACUUUACGAUACUUUGUCUAUAAGAAAAUGCUUGGAACUUGUGUAUAUAUUUACACCAAAAACAUCCUGUAUGCAUUGCAAAUGGACUAGCUGGCGAUGAUCGUAUUGAUGAAAUUGAACAAAUUUCGCUGAAACAAAACAUUAGCCCGUUAGUUUUCUUACUUCCGAAUAAAAAUACAAUGUAAAUACCUUAAGUUGUGAUCCUUGAUGAUUGAUUUGUAAUUAAAUCCUCCCCAGUAAUGGCCAUAUUUAUGCCGUGUAUUUGCCGUGAAGAAUCUUCAGAUCAAACAGAUAGGAUAUGAUAUCUCCUACACAAUCCAUUAUCAGCCAAUGAGACAUUUCAUUUCUUUUUGGGGAUCUAUUCACAUAGUCACAAACUGGAAUUACUCCGCUGGCAUUGUUUCCUAUUAUCGUUGCCAAAUCAACACGUUUCUCAGCACCAUUCAUUUUGUCUGCAGCCGCUGCUUCUUCAACUCCUGCUUUUUUUUGACGUAGGACUACGUCUAACCGGAAGAUAUAGGGGGUGAAAUGAAAAUCUAGGCACUGAACAAGUUGGAAAAAAUGCAAGAUUUGGAACGCUUAAAACUCGAGCAUUUCUCAAUAGAUCGCAAAGGUUUUUGCAUCAAUUGAUAGGAAAUAUAUCUACGCAUCUAUCAUAACGAAUAACAUUUCAUUUUUCUUGAGAUAAAUAAUUGAAUAAUCGUGAAAUAUCAAGCAUUGUCCAAAUGCACUAUGUGCCCAUUUUUGAUUGGUCCAUUUUGUGCUCCUCAAAUCGUACCGACCAAAACGGUCAACCAGAGCAGCAGCGAAAUACAAAGAAGCACGAUUGGAAAGGAAAAAGAAAAAAUAUGAACGAAACAAUUGUCGCAGUCUCACACAUGCGUAAUUCUCGAGCCAGCCAGUCAGCUUAAAAAUCCCCGCUCCGCUGCCGUAACGAUCAUUCUUUGUGUGGACACCGACUGGACAACAUCGUUGCUGGACGAGCUGGAUGGCGAGGGAUCGAGUGCCUUUCUCAAGGCAAUGGGGGCGGAGGUGUAAUGAAGGAGUUAGAGUAGAGUUUUAAGGGCCUUUCUCAAGGCUAGAGACGAAUGAACUAAAAAGUUUAAAGUCUCUAUAAUACAAAACCACCACCGUAACGAUCAUUCUCAUCCGAACCGUACACCACAUCGUUUCGCAUGACAUCACAUCAACAAACCAACACAAGCAGCCAUGGUUGGUUAUGGCAAAGGAGGAAAAGUGAAGGGAAAGGCAAAAUCCCGACCGAACCGUGUUGAUCUGGAGUUCCCCGCAAGGGUAGCUAGACCGAGCGCGUUAGAACCAGUGCACCAGUCCACCUAGCCGGCGUUAUAUAGUUUCGGCCGCCGAAGUGAUCGAGUUAGCUGGCAAAGCUGCUCGCGACGAUAAGAAAACCCGCAUUCAGAACAGACCACAUUCGGUUCGGUGGACAUCAAGACAACACAACAGGCAGUUGCAGCAAGUGGCGAGUGGCAAACGCAAUCGCAAAACGACAGCAGGUAGCAGAAGAAAAAAGUUUGUUCUUUAUACAAUCUGCUUUGGUGGCAAAACCAGAACAAGGCGGCAUCGAGGGCAUUCGAAAUGGUUUUUUUUUAAAACCACGAGUACUAAGUUUUUUAAAUUGGAACCAUUCCAUAAAACACGGCGCUUAUCAGGGCCAUUAAACCUUUCAAAAAAGAGUUUACGAAAUACAGUUCAAUGCAUUCUAAAAUAAUAUCCAAAAUAAUAAUAAAACACAAAUUGAUUUUUUUAUAAUUUGUUUGCCAGGAUAUGAUGAGUAUGUGAAUUUGGCAGUUGUUCUGAGCUUAUUGAUGGUUGGGGACUUUCCCGAUUAUUCAAUUUUCACCAAUUCUUAAAUUGCUUCUAGAUUGAAAGUACUGUAAUUUAUAUUUAGCUCGACAUUGAGCUAAUUGGAUGGAUCUGUAAUGUGUCAUUUUUGUAAACAUAGAGUUCGGGGUCCAAAUUAUGACUCCACAUUGAAAGUCGACACUGUACCACUGUCAUCGGAAAUGUUCAAUUACAGGUUUAAAUCGCCUCUAUGUAGAUAGGUAGGUAUUCACGUAGGAGAAGAAAAUAAAAAAAUAUAUUUAAAAUAUAUAUUUAACAAAAGCUGUCCCCUUUGUAUAGUCCUACGUCACUCCGGUUAUGUCCCCGACAUUACCCACCCGUCUUUUUUGUUUCCUCCAAAAUCCGACUAGGAAAGAGCCGGCGAUCGAAUGUGUCCUAUUUUAUGUUUGACGGCCAGCUGUUCAUAGAGCUACUGAGCCUUGCCUACUGCAAAUGUAUUCAGUUCCGUCAUAAUGUGGGGGAUCCUCUCUGGUGGAAGCGCUUUAGAAUAGCUGGAAAUUAAACAUAAUUGAUGUUAUUCAAUGUAACGGAAACAUCAUAGAAUGAAGAUUAGUAUCUUGUAAAGUUUUUAAUUAUUUAAAUAAACUAAAUAAAUAAAAAUUAAUGAUACUUACAUUCUGGGUUCUUCCUCUGUUGUGAUUUUUUUUUUGACAGUUGUGGAGCAGAAAAGAAGAUAUUCAAUACAGUGAUGCCGUUUCGUUCUAAGCAAGUUAUACUAUAAAACAUGAAACUAUAGGUACUGUUGCCUGCGGGGGGCAAGACGGGGUGCCAUUCCAUCACUUUUGUAGCACUCUUCGUCUCUCGGUCGGCGUUGUGUCUAUAACCGCUCGAAAGUAUAUGAAACUGGGGAGUGAUGCCACAAACGGUUCCCCGGGACGACAUCGGAGCAGCCGCCACACACAUACACGCGAGGAACUCUUCGUUUGGAUGCCAUUCAGCAUCGAGAAAAUUCCGGAAAGAUCUAAUCAUUGCUGAAAAAUAAUCUGCCAGUUCCCCUGGGAAUUGAAAAAUACAUUAAUGCGAAAGAGUUUAUUCUAAUGUUUUCUAUCCAUAUAACACUGCAAACAAAUACAUUUGGUUUUGUCAUUUUUCAAUCAAUCGCAAUUAACAGGAAAGCUUCUGAAAAUUAUUCUUCCCCAUCAGUAGAAAAUUUUCAUAUCCAAUAUUGUAUGCGCGCGCAACGGAAAAUGUUUCGCAUCGCGAAAAUUAUAUAAUUUUCAAUCGAUUAUUGUUUCAUCGAAAGUUUCAAACUCAGAGAGUUCAUUCCCCUCUAGUUUGCCUUCCAAAUUGCCAUCGUAAACCACACCUAUUCUCGAUUCAAUCACGCACAAAAAGCAUACUUAAGCGAUAUUCUGGUGGUGAAACGCAUUCAGUUUUCGUGAGGACAUCGACAAGACAACAUCGUAAUUGAACGAGCUAAACGUGCUGGACGAGCUGGACGGCGAGGGAUCAAGGGAUUCAUUACCUUGCCGGACCUGACCUGAAACGCAUUCAGUUUGUUUGGAACUGUGAGGGAGCGCAGAAAAGCCGAUCCAUCAGAGGAAGAAGAGAAGACGACCGAGAGAGUACCAGCAUCGAAAAUUGGUUCCGCUUGAGGCAUCGGAGCAACAACACACACACCCAUACACGCGCGCAACUCUUUACGUUCGCUGGUUAUCGAGAAAAAUCCGGAAAAAAGUGAUCGUUGCUGCAAAAUAACCUGCCAGUCCCCCUUGGACUUGAAAAUUACAUUCAAGCGAAAGAGUUUAUUUUAAUGUUUUCUAUCCAUUUAAUACUGCGACCAAAUACAAUUGGUUUUGUGAUUUUUCGAUCAAGUGCAAUUAACAGGUGGUUAUCAAGUUAGCAUUAACCACUGGUGGUAGACUUCGAGAAGAAUCGAGAAGAAUUCGGAAAGAUGUCAUCGCUACUGCAAAAUAAUUUGUCAGCCCCCUUGGAUUUGGAAAUUACAUUCGAGCGGAAGAGUUUAUUCUGAUAUUUUUUACCCAUAUAAUACUGCGACCAAAUAUAAUUGGUUUUGUUAGCAUGAACCACUGGUGGAUUUCGAGAAGAAUCGAGGAGAAUCCGGAAAUAUGUCGUUGCUGCAAAAUAAUCAGCGAGUUCCCUUUGGAAUUGAAAAUUACAUGCAAGCGAAAGAGUUUAUUUUGAUGUUUUCUAUCCAUAUAAUACUGCGACCAAAUACAUUUAGUUCUGUGAUUUUUCAAUCAAGUGCAAUUAGCAGGAAAGAUUAUGAAGAUUAUUCUUCCCCAUCAGUAGGAUACUUUCGUAUCCAAUAUUGGAUGCAUAAAACCUUGUACCUCCAGCGUAACGCUCUCGUUUUCGAAGUCCCCCAAAUAUUCAUUUAUUCAUUCAUUCAUAAUGAAUUCAGAUUCAAUUUCAAACAGAUGAUCACUAAAUAAAUGAUAAUCCUACGUCACCAUUGCGGUUAUACCAUAGAUAUAACCCACUUCCUGUUUUUUAAUUUGUCAUUAGGGUGCCCAUUUCCAAUUUAAGGUGAUCCCAAAAAUCAUUUUUUCCACUUUUUCCCAAAAUGACUUUUUUCAAAAAUUUAUAACUUUCGAACCACUCAACCGAUUUAGAUGAUCGACAUAUCAAAUUUAAGCCAAUGAGCUUUAAUUGAGAAAUAUUUAACUUGCAUAUAAUAUGGAUCCUAUUUUUAAUAUGGAUUGAAAGCUGAGAACUUUUGCAUAAAAUAUCUCGAUAUCAGAGAUGCUAUUUUUUUCGUUUUUGAAAUAUGAUUUUGCAAAACUAAUCGAUGGUUCGAAAAACAAUUUUUCCCACUACAAAAAGUCAUAACUUUCGAACUAUUGGACCGAUUCAUAUCAUCGACAUAUCGACAUAUCAAAUUGAAGCUUACGAGAUAUAUUUUUUAAAAAAAUAUUACUUUUGCGAAAAAAUUGAAUUUUGUUUUUGUAAUUAUGGAUUGAGUUAGUUUUUCAUAGUUUUCUCGGUUAAAGAUAGGAGCGCUAUAUUUUUUUAUAUUUUUUAUGGAAAGCUGAGGAGUAUUUACUUAACAUAUCUCGAUAUCAGAGAUGCUAUAAUUAUCGUUUUUAAGUUAGAAUUUUGUAAAUUUAACAUGUUUUAAGUCUUCGAUCAAUAUUCAUAUGUGACUAAACUAGACCUAUGCUACUAGAAUCCAAUCUUCCCGCAAGUGUGAGUUUGCUUAUUGGCUUCAAUUUAAUAUAUCGAUCAUCUAAAUCGGUUCAGUAGUUCAAAUGUUAUGAUUUUUUGCAGAAAGUUAUUUUUGGACAAAUGGGAAAAAAAGAAUUAUUUUUUAAAUCAUAUCUAAAAAACGAAAAAAUAGCAACCCUGAUAUCGAGAUAUGUUGUGUAAAAAAUCCUCAGCUUUCAAGAAAAAAUAUAAAAAUAUAUAGCGCCCUCUAGUCCAAAGUCAUAAAAAAAAUAAAAAACGACUACAAUCAAUAAUUACUAAAAUAUAAUUAUGUUUUUCGCAAGUUAAAUAUUUUUUUAUAAAAGGCUAGGUCAAUUUUAUAUGUCGAUCAUCUAAAUCGAUUCAGUGAUUCAAAUGUUAUUAAUUUUCAUUUGUCAUUUUUGGGAAAACGUGGAAAAAAAUGAUUUUUCGGACCACUUAAUAACUUAUGUGCUGUAAGUGUGCUUAAAUGUUUCAACGAUCUACACAUACAUACAUACACAUACAUACACAAACAUACGCGUUGUUAAUUUUUAUAAAACACAGUAUUUCUCCGUUGAUAUAUUGGACAUCCACCAAGGCUUGCGGUCUUGUCGUUUUUAUUUUUAAAAAAAUGCAGUGUAUAUUUUCCAUCCGCCAUGCAAGGCUAUACAAGUUUUAGACCACACGGCCAUGAACCAUGUCUGUCGUAACAAUAUCGAACAGUAACCCAUAUUUCGUCAUAAGCAGACCCGAAAGCAAAUGUAAGUUGUUGAAAAUAGAAUGAAAAUUUUUAUUCGAUGUUGUUUAAAUACAUAGGUUGCAUAGUCCUGACCCUAACUUAACUUUUUUUCAAUAAAUCUCCUUGCAUUUCAGCAAAACAAUCUUGUCUAGAACAGAAAAUAAUUAUCAGAGACAAUUUUCGUUCAAGAUUUUUCCUUACCUGCAGAGAAUGCAAUUGUUCAUUAAUUGUGAAUAACCGUAUCCUCUUUUUCGUCUGCAAUGAUGUCAAGGCAAAAGUACUUAUGUGUAUGAGCUCCAAACAUCAUACAUACCAGAUGGGCCAACAAGAAGGACUGCCGGGCCGCAGGUUGAGUAUCGCUGGUCUAACGUCAUGUGUAUUGAUAUAUACUAAAUAUAAUAACUUUUCUGUAUUAAAACUAUAGAAAAAUGUCAUAUGGUGAGUCAAAUAUUUUUGAUGUGAUGAAUAGAUGUGAUGAAUGUUUUACAGAUAUGUCUGUAAAUUUACAAACAUAUUUGUAAAUCUGGCAUCUCUGGUGGUCUGAGAAUUUAUUGCAAGAAAUCGCUUGAAAACAUGCAUGAAUUUGCUUGAGAAUGAAGUGGAUUGAGUCCGCACCACUUAGAUUUUGAGGAGAUCGCUCGCGACUAUUAACCAAAUUGGAUGACAGUGAUUUCCUCGGGCGGAUAACAGAACAAUCUAUUUGUUUGCCUAAAAGAUGGCUAAGGCCGCAGCAACGGACGACGAACGAUAGCAAGUACCAAAGGUUGCUCAAUGCGAUCUCGGUGAUAUGGUGAAUGUAUUCCGCCACGGUUCGCUCGUGAUGCAAAACUUUGGUGAGCGAACGACGGCGACAACGGGUUGUGUGCUAUUUGGCAUAGUCAGCGAUGCAAUUGGGAAAUUUGACUGACACAAUCAAAUCUGUUGAAAAUUGCUGAUCGACGUGGAUGGAACUAAGAAGGAAGCGGCCGUACAUGAUAUAAUCAAGAUUAUAGAAGACCUAACAUGGAUACAUUAGGAUGACUAGUGUUGAUCAUUAUUAUUGAAUGGAUGCUAUCAGUUGUUUUCUGGUUGACAAAACGAGAAGUUACAAUUUUUUCUAAAAAAGUUGAUUAAUAAAUCAACUCAUUCAAAGAGAGAUGUUCGAACUGGCUGCUGGACGAAGAUCGAGCAAGCUCAUGAAUUUCAGCAAUGGUCGCGAAAAAUAAUUUCAUGUUUGUAGGGUAAUAAAGAAAUUUCAGUGAA